rnacentral:rRNA from 1 species
AACGAACGCUGGCGGCAUGCCUAACACAUGCCAGUCGAACGAGACCUUCGGGUCUAGUGGCGCACGGGUGCGUAACGCGUGGGAACCUGCCCUUAGGUUCGGAAUAACUCCCCGAAAGGGGUGCUAAUACCGGAUAAUGUCUUCGGACCAAAGAUUUAUCGCCUUUGGAUGGGCCCGCGUUGGAUUAGCUAGUUGGUAGGGUAAAAGCCUACCAAGGCGACGAUCCAUAGCUGGUCUGAGAGGAUGAUCAGCCACACUGGGACUGAGACACGGCCCAGACUCCUACGGGAGGCAGCAGUGGGGAAUAUUGGGCAAUGGGCGAAAGCCUGAUCCAGCAAUGCCGCGUGAGUGAUGAAGGCCUUAGGGUUGUAAAGCUCUUUUACCCGGGAUGAUAAUGACAGUACCGGGAGAAUAAGCGCCGGCUAACUCCGUG